AUUGAACGCUGGCGGCAGGCCUAACACAUGCAAGUCGAGCGAGCGGCGGGCGGGUGAGUAAUGUAUGGGGACUGCCCGAUAGCGGGGGAUAACUACUGGAAACGGUAGCUAAUACCGCAUACUAUCGGAUAACCCAUAUGGGAUUAGCUACUAGGUGAGGUAAUGGCUCACCUAGGCGACUAUCCCUAGAUGGUCUGAGAGGAUGAUCAGCCACACUGGGACUGAGACACGGCCCAGACUCCUACGGAGGCAGCAGUGGGGAAUAUUGCACAAUGGGCGCAAGCCUGACGCAGCCAUGCCGCGUGUAUGAAGAAGGCUUUAGGGUUGUAAAGCACUUUCAGUCGGGAGGCGUUACCGACAGAAGAAGCACCGGCUAACUCCGUGCCAGCAGCCGCGGUAAUAC
rnacentral:rRNA from 1 species